rnacentral:rRNA from 1 species
AUUGAACGCUGGCGGCAGGCCUAACACAUGCAAGUCGAGCGGCUGAACGGAGCUUGCUCCUUGAUUCAGCGGCCGACGGGUGGGUAAUGCCUAGGAAUCUCCCUGUUAGUUUUGGCUUACGUCCGGACACGGGCGCUAAUACCGUAUACGUCCUUAGGACGUACGUGGGGGAUCUUCGGAUCUCCCGCUCUUAGAUGAUCCUAUGUCGGAUUAGCUAGUUGGUGGGGUAAAGGCCUACCAAGGCGACGAUCCGUAACUGGUCUGAGAGGAUGAUCAGCCACACUGGAACUGAGACACGGUCCAGACUCCUACGGGAGGCAGCAGUGGGGAAUAUUGGACAAAGGGCGAAAGCCUGAUCCAGCCAUGCCGCGUGUGUGAAGAAGGUCUUCGGAUUGUAAAGCACUUUAAGUGGGGAGGAAAGGCAGUAAGUUAAUACCUUGCUGUUUUAACGUUACCAAAAGAAUAAGCACCGGCUAACUUCGUG